ensembl:lncRNA novel transcript
GCCAUUCUCCUGCCUCAGCCUCCCGAGUAGCUGGGACUACAGGCGCCCGCCAUCACGCCCGGCUAAUUUUGUGUAUUUUUUAGUAGAGACGGGGUUUCACCGUGUUAGCCAGGAUGGUCUCGAUCUCCUGACCUCGUGAUCCGCCCGCCUCGGCCUCCCAAAGUGCUGGGAUUACAGUCUGGAGCCACCGCGCCCGGCCCUGAGAUGUCUCCAAGUGGUGGUGAGACAUCAUCAAAUCCUAAGAAACAAUAUACUUGAAGAUUUUUCACUCACUGCAUCAAAGAUUCCGGUAUAUUUUGGUUCUGUGAUUGCAUUGAAGGAGGCUAUUCUUGCCCUGUGCUGUAUCCAGUGUGACUCAGUGGAGACUAGAGACCAAAGAACCUAAGGCUCAGGUGACAGCAAUCCAGUAGUGUCACUGCCUCCUGUCAAUGGCAGCAUUUGCAGCAGUUUCCGAGGGUGUGGCUGAGCACGGAUGCUCCUAAUAUUCACCACACAGCUCAUUUCAAUGACAGCGGGACUAUCGGUUCUGAUGAAGAAAUUAAUAUCUCCUGGAGAAAAAAAGGUUUAAAAGACAGAAGUUGCAGAUGAACCUAAAACUGAAAGCCCUUAAAAUAUUUUUAUGUCCUGUAAAAGAGAAUCAUAAAAGCAGCACAUGACAUAAAGAAAAUAUCAAUGACAUUUUAUAUAUGUUAAAUUAGUAAUAAUGGGCACUGCAUAUCUUAACUUCCAUUGGCCAUCCUUCACUUGGUGUAAAUUUUCAAUACCUUCUUCUGGCUCCUGUGUCACUGAGAGACUUGGAAAUUUGUUUUAUCUUUUAUUAGGUUGAUGCAAAAGUAAUUGCAGCUUUGCCAUUACUUUCAAUACCAAAAUGUACUCUUAAAAAAUUGACCAUCCUACAUACACUCAAUGUCAUGCUGAUUUUAUGACUCAAAAUUAUUGGCUUCCAACUUUUGAGUUACAGUGUGAAUGCUGAGACCAGUCCUCAAGAAUGUGCUUUUCCGCCAGGGUUCAUGUCUGGCUCCUUGAUCCAUUUUUGCACCAUCAAAUGAAGGGUAGAAACAUAUUGCGGUCAAGGAACUACACUUUGUGUUUAAACCUGAAUUAAAAAUCCAGAUCACCAUUUGCUGCCCAUUUUUAUGUUCUAUAAAAGUGCAUAAUAAAAGUAGCCCUUAAGAUAAAGAAAAAAUGAUAUAUUUUAUAUGACUAAUCCUAUGAUUCCAUUUUCUGAUCUGUAAAAUUGGACAAUAUUACCAACUUCCAAAGUCCAUUACGAGAAUAAAAUAAAACAAAAUCAGCAUCUAACAAA